rnacentral:lncRNA from 1 species
UUCGUUUUGAAAGUUCGGUGAGAGUAACUUUCAAAAUAAGUAACUUCAUAAGCUUAAAAGCAAGAGUAAGGGGCAUGUUUGGUGAAGCUUAAAAACACGUUUUCUGAUAGCAUCAUCUCACAUAUGCUAAAAAGAUCCUUUUAAGCACCCAUUUAAGCUUAGCCAAACAUGAUGUAGGUUGUCAUCAAAACUUGUUUGGAACAAAGUAACUUUUACCAAUAUUACCAAAAAUGGGAAGGACCAGUUGGUUUGAGAACUAGGAAUCGGUCUGGUUAGCCUUUAAAAACUGUACGAUAGAAUACCGAUUGCGAACCACUGAGCUAGCUUGGUUGAACAGGGACCCAUUGGUUUUCUCGGUUUCGCAAGGUCAAUUUUAAAAAAACCGUACGCAUUUUAUUUCUGCUCAAGUCAUCUCAUCACUUAGGGUGUAUAACUUCAUCUGAGCCACCUCACGAAUUUUCUCUUCCCUUUCCAAAUCAUUUUCUUGCCUUUUCUUCUUCAUUUCUAGUUUGAUUCUUUCGAAGCUCAACUUCUUCGAUGCUCGGAAAUCAUCACGUCUUCAGUUCUUUAAGUUUAUGUUGCUUCUUUCAUUUUCUCAUUUUCUUAUACAAAACUCACAAGCAUGGAAAGUUAUUGGGUGGGGGGCUUGGAAAAAUCUACUCGAGAGUUGUAUUGGAAUGGAAAGAAUUAAUUUCUCCCUAAUUGAGCAUUUUUAAUAUGAGCAGAAAUUAAAUGGAAUAAUUUGAUGAACAUGGUUCCAACAGAAUGGAUUACCUUUUCUGGUAUAAUAUGGUUUGAAGCUAACUAUAAUAAUUUAAUUUAAAGCAUAUUGUGAUUAUCUCAUUUUUUGCUAUGUUUAGUUUUCAUUUUUCUGUUCUGCUUAGUUAUCGUUAUUUUGUCCUGCUCAGUAUUAAAGUUACUUGCAUUUUGUAAUUGAAUUGAAUGGCAAAAUUUGUAUUACUUAUUUUAUUUGACUAUUUUGUGCUAAUUGUAUGCUUUGAGUUGUUGAUGCAGUUAUUUUUCAACAAUCAAUCUCGCAAGUAAUUCAAACUAAUGUUAUGAAAAUCAAUUAUAGCAUAUUUAUUUAAAUUUUUCUGGCAUGGUCUCUUUUGCAUGAGGUCUUUAGAAAUCCAUUUACUACCUGUUAAUAUUUGGUUUCUCUAUCCUUUUUCAACGCUUGACUUUCCUAAGCUCUUUGUCAAUGCACGACUAGUAUGCACCAUUUACUACAAUUGACGUGUCUUUUAUAUAUUAUAGCUCAUCUUAUCUUAAAGACUACAAAAUGCAGUUCUUAGGACUUAUUUAGCUUAAAAUAUUCAAUGAAAACAUGUAUAAGUUAGAAGCUUUUUUUAUCAUGUCAUUAAGAUCUAUCUCAUAUAAUAUACGUUUACAAGGCGUCGUAGCCAUAUCUUUCCAUGGUUUCUUAGCUUGAGUGAGACCGAUCAUUGUCAAGGAUAGCUUCUCUUUCAAGCAAACUCAAUGCACUUUAAAUACUCCAAACUAGUUUUGUUAUCAAAAUCUACUUGAAUCUUCGUAAAUAAUUUCACUAGAAUAACAUCUUAAUAUUGGAACCACACUACUAUCAUAUUUGGUUAAGCUUAAAAAAGGGGGAAAAAUAAUUUUAAAAAUCAGCCAAGGUAUCAACAAGGAAAAGAGAAACGACCAAGGUGUCAACCAGUAACGUUUUUUGCUUUUAGAUUACUAGUUUAGCCUAUUGACCAUUUUUUAUUUCCCUGGCUGAAGCUUUACCAUUUAUUAAAACAUUAUUAUUAUUAUUAUUAUUAUUAUUAUUAUUAUUAUUAUUAUUAUUAUUAUUUUUUUUUUACUAUUUCUUUGCUUGACCAAACAUUCUAGUAAUGCCCUUGCACUUUAGAUUGAUAUUAUAGUGAAAUAAUUUAUAGAAGUUCAAGUAGAUUUUGAUGACUAAAUUGGCUAGGAAUAUCUUUUCAAAGUUUAUUGGGUUUGCUUGAAAGAGAAAUUAUCGUUGAUAGUGAGUGAGCUCAAUCAAGUUAAGAAACUAUGGAUAGAUAUGACUAUAAUGACUCGUAAACGAUGAUUAAAUAAUGUAGAUUUUAAUGAGAUGGUAAAAAUGUUUCUAAAUCAUCCAUAUUUUUUGAAAAUUAUGAGCUGAAUAAGUCCCAAUAACUGUAUGGUUUAGUUAACAAGGAUUUUAAGCAUUGACAAAGACAUAAAGAUAAGUAAUAACAAAUAUAAAAAUGAGAUGGACCAUACAUAAUAGGCGAGUGGAUCAUUGACAAAGGUACACUGACCAGUCAAUGCAUUGAUAGAGGCUAAAAAAGCCAAGUGUUGAAAAAUGCUGGACACACCAGGCAGUGAAUGAGCACCUUGUGCAAGAGAUCAUCUUAGAAAAAUUUGGAUGAAUAUGUUGCAAUUGAUUUUCAUAAUGUUACCUCUAUUUUUUGUGACGUAAUUUGAUGGAGACCCUUAUCAAAGCUAAAGAGGAGUUCCAUGAUCUGGUUCUUGGCUCAUUUGUGUGGAUCAGAAGGAAGAUUUUGUAGGCUUGUCCAAGUUGUAGAUACGUACGUGCACAACUUUAUUAAAAGCAUCUUUAUCUUGUUAAUUCUUUCUUUUCUUUUUUAAUGAAUCUUAAAACAAAUUGUGCUAGUCAAACAUUUACUGAGUUAAUUCAAUUUUAAUAUCAGAUAAGGUGGCUGAGCCACAUGGAAUUGAUUGCAAGUCAGCAGAUAUCAUGCUUGAAGUUCCAAAGUUAAAAGAGUAGAAAGAGGCUCUAUCAAUUUAUGCUAGUACAGAUUAAGAAUUCUCCGAGGUGAUUGGAAUACAGAUUGAUCAACUUUUCUCUGAAUGUUGAAUUUAUUAUGUUUCUUGGAGUUCCUUAACGUUUUUCACAUGCAUUGAAUGUAUAGGAGAAAUUCAGCUUCUGAAGUUCGAAAACCAGCUGAGAAUUUGUGGAGUUCCAGAAUCCCAUGAUCAAAAUACAAACCCAAAUUAUGAAUCAGAAGAAGACACCAAACUUGGGAAUAACAGUAAGCAAGGUAAGACUACAUUUUUGGGUGGUUAUUUUGUCAGAUUUGUUCUUUAUUAAUUAGACAUUUGUUCUAUGCUUGUACUAAGGUAAAGAAGAGGGCUGAUCCACUCACAAAAUAAAAUUUGAUGAAAAAAUAGAAGCGAGUGGAUCACAUGGUUGGGAGAAUUAUGCAAAUCAAGAAAAUACUUGUAGCUCGGCAACUGGAGGGAUCCACCUCGUACGCUCGAGACAAGAAUCAAGGAUGCUACUCAUGCCAUAUGUAACUUUAACUUUUGUGCAAAGUCAGUUUAGUUCUAUAAGUCGAUUCAAAAGUUUAUGCAGUUCUCUCUGAAAAUGCAGUUUUAGUUCGAUGCUGCAGCAUUAUGUCGGAACUAACUUCGUGUACUAGUACAUUAGAACUGAAUUGUGAACGUGUACGAAUUAAUUUUUAGAAUUAUAGAAUACAUGAAAUUGUGUCUAACAGAGUAACUAAAUAUCAU